UUAUAAAAUCACAAUAAGAUUAACGGUUUUAAAACAGAUAUAACAGUGGCAAUUAAAACAAUAUUGAAGUUCACUUUUGUUCCUUCGCGGCUGUAAGAGUAACAUGUACUUUCGAAGCUUUUUUUAGCAUAUUUUAUUUAAUUUGACAUAAGUAAUUUCCGCAUAAUAACGUAUAAUUUUCAAGUGGACUUUGAUCGCCUUUAUCGUUCGAUAACCUAAAUUUCAUAACCAUUUUUAAACUGUUCGGACUUAAAGGAGUUAUUUCUUACAGCUAUAACUUAAAAACGCAUUCUCGUUUUGAGUUUUACGCAGUGGGAUAGAAUAUAUCACGCGGAUGGAAUAAACUACCACAGAGCACAUCAAGAGUUUGAUGAUUGUAGUUUUCAAAUAGCGCUUUCGGAUAUGGAAGAAAACUAAACAUAAAUUACGUUUUAUGUAUCCAGAAUUAAAUUAAAUUAUUUUUUUUUUAAAAUGACCUUUUAUUUAAAUUAAUUUUUUAUGACUUUUUAUGAAUUUUUUAAUGACUUUUUUAUUUUAAUUAUUUUUUUAUAUUUUUUUGAAUUAUAUUAAAAAAUUUCUUUUUUAAUAUGUUCUAUUUAAUAGUAAUAGUAAUACAAACUGCUGUAAAGACUAUUGUCGCGGAGCAUAAAGUUUAAAAUUUAUACUUUAACAGCCGUUAACAAAUGGUUAUCUAGUCUAGCUUUAAAAGAAUUUACUGUCAUUGCAGAACUUUUUCAGAAAAUAAAAAAUAAAUGUUAGCGUUGUUGGCUAAAAAUGCAACUAUGCCAACAAAAGGGCUUGCCUGGAAGCGCUGGCGUGGGCAUUUUUGCUCUAAUUGAUGUGACUCUUCAAAAUAACCAAACGCUCAAAAUUCCGACUGGAACUUGCAUUGAAAUUCCGCCUGGUUAUUAUGGUCAAUUGUUUACAAGAUCCUCUAGCUUUUCAAAAUAUAAAUGUUUUAGCAGGAGUCAAUGAUGGAAAUUAUUGUGGUGUUGUUCAAGUCUUGUUAAAAAACAUAAAUGAUUUUGAAUUAAUGAUAUUUAAAAAUAUGGCUAUUGCUCAACUUAUCAUUUUGGCUACUAAUUUUCCGAAUAUUAUCUUGGUUUCCGAAGAACCUUCAAAACGAGGCAGUAACGGAUUUGGAUUGAGCAACAUGAAGUCUACCCCUUUGGACGCUUACAGUAUGAUUGAAAAGUCAACAUGCAAAAAUAAUAAAACAUAUAUUAUUAAUAAUAACUCUUAAUAGAUGGUUUUUAAACACGUUAAUUUUCUUCCAGAUUUUAUGUAAUGUUUUACGAAAUAAUUUACGCAAAAAGAUUUGCAAGAUCGUAAGAAGUGUUCUUCUGCUUCGUCUGCUGUUUAUACUAAUUUGAAUAAUAUCUUAAAAAAAUAUCUUGUAAUGCCUAAGAUGGUUUUAUUUGUAAAUAUUUUUUAUUUUUUU